rnacentral:rRNA from 1 species
GCGAUUGGAGGGCAAGUCUGGUGCCAGCAGCCGCGGUAAUUCCAGCUCCAAUAGCGUAUAUUAAAGCUGUUGCAGUUAAAAAGCUCGUAGUUGGAUCUCGAGAUGUGGUGUACAUUGGCCCAGGGAUCGCUCUCUGAGUGCCAGUAUGCUCAUCUCCACCUUUCAGCCUCCCCGACUUGCCUGUUGGUUCAGGUUAAGCCGAGAGAACAUGAGGGAUCGGGUUAUUUAUGGGGUAACUCAUGGGUAACUUCCCCUUAUGUUGGGAGACUGAAUCGUUUACCUUGAGGAAAUUAGAGCGUUCAAGGCGGGUGGAAUUUUAGCCACCGUCGAAUACGUCAGCAUGGGAUGAUGGAACAGGACCCUGCUCCCGUUUUGCCUGGUUUUACCGUAUGUCAAGGGCUUUUAAGUUGGAUUGUUUUGCAGUUCAAUUUGGGAGUUCCGGCAUACAUCCAGCGGGAUUUGUUUAUUGCAGGAUUUAUGAAAGAUCAACUUCCGCGAAGGCAUCUGCCAGGGACGCCUUCGUUAAUCAAGAACGAGAGUUGGGGGAUCGAAGACGAUCAGAUACCGUCGUAGUCUCAACCGUAAACGAUGCCGACCGGCGAUCGGAGGGCGUCGCCGCGGAUGACCCCUCCGGCAGCCCCGCGGGAAACCUCGAGUCUUCGGGUUCCGGGGGGAGUAUGGUCGCAAGGCUGAAACUUAAAGGAAUUGACGGAAGGGCACCACCAGGAGUGGAGCCUGCGGCUUAAUUUGACCCAACGCGGGGAAACUCACCGGGUCCGGACACGGUCGGGAUUGACAGAUCGAGAGCUCUUUCUUGAUUCCGUGGGUGGUGGUGCAUGGCCGUUCUUGGUUGGUGGAGCGAUUUGUCUGGUUAAUUCCGUUAACGAACGAGACCUCGGCCUGCUAAAUAGCCGCGCCGACCGCCCGUCCCGGGGGGGGGCGACCCCCCCCGGGGCGCGUCGGCGACGGAGCUUCUUAGAGGGACCAUCCGCGUCCAGCGGGCGGAAGUUCGAGGCAAUAACAGGUCUGUGAUGCCCUUAGAUGUCCCGGGCCGCACGCGCGCUACAAUGGCGCGGGCAGCGAGCGUCUCAGCCUCGGCCGACGGGUCCGGGCGAUCUCGCGAGGCCGCGCCCCGACGGGGAUAGACCGUUGCGACUGUCGGUCUUCAACGAGGAAUUCCUAGUAGGCGCGGGUCAUCAGCCCGCGCCGAUUACGUCCCUGCCCUUUGUACACACCGCCCGUCGCUCCUACCGAUCGAACGGUCCGGCGAGACCUCCGGACGG